rnacentral:rRNA from 1 species
GAUGAACGCUGGCGGCGUGCCUAAUACAUGCAAGUCGAGCGAACGGACGAGAAGCUUGCUUCUCUGAUGUUAGCGGCGGACGGGUGAGUAGCACGUGGAUAACCUACCUAUGAGACUGGGAUAACUUCGGGAAACCGGAGCUAAUACCGGAUAAUAUUUUGAACCGCAUGGUUCAAAAGUGAAAGACGGUCUUGCUGUCACUUAUAGAUGGAUCCGCGCUGCAUUAGCUAGUUGGUAAGGUAACGGCUUACCAAGGCAACGAUGCAUAGCCGACCUGAGAGGGUGAUCGGCCACACUGGAACUGAGACACGGUCCAGACUCCUACGGGAGGCAGCAGUAGGGAAUCUUCCGCAAUGGGCGAAAGCCUGACGGAGCAACGCCGCGUGAGUGAUGAAGGUCUUCGGAUCGUAAAACUCUGUUAUUAGGGAAGAACAUAUGUGUAAGUAACUGUGCACAUCUUGACGGUACCUAAUCAGAAAGCCACGGCUAACUACGUG